rnacentral:rRNA from 1 species
CCUACGGGUGGCAGCAGUGAGGAAUAUUGGUCAAUGGGCGGGAGCCUGAACCAGCCAAGUCGCGUGAGGGAAGACGGUCCUACGGAUUGUAAACCUCUUUUGCCGGGGAGCAACGGGGUCCUUGCGAGGGCCCAAUGAGAGUACCCGGAGAAAAAGCAUCGGCUAACUCCGUGCCAGCAGCCGCGGUAAUACGGAGGAUGCGAGCGUUAUCCGGAUUUACUGGGUGUAAAGGGAGCGUAGACGGCAGCGCAAGUCUGGAGUGAAAUCCCAUGGCUUAACCAUGGAACUGCUUUGGAAACUGUGCAGCUAGAGUGCAGGAGAGGUAAGCGGAAUUCGUAGUGUAGCGGUGAAAUGCGUAGAUAUUAGGAGGAACACCAGUGGCGAAGGCGGCUUACUGGACUGUAACUGACGUUGAGGCUCGAAAGCGUGGGGAGCAAACAGGAUUAGAUACCCGGGUAGUC